AGUGAACGCUGGCGGUAGGCCUAACACAUGCAAGUCGAACGGCAGCACAGUAAGAGCUUGCUCUUACGGGUGGCGAGUGGCGGACGGGUGAGGAAUACAUCGGAAUCUACAUUUUCGUGGGGGAUAACGUAGGGAAACUUACGCUAAUACCGCAUACGACCUACGGGUGAAAGCAGGGGAUCUUCGGACCUUGCGCGAUUGAAUGAGCCGAUGUCGGAUUAGCUAGUUGGCGGGGUAAAGGCCCACCAAGGCGACGAUCCGUAGCUGGUCUGAGAGGAUGAACCGCCCAAGGGGAAGGGAGGCAGGGCGCAGGCGACGAUGGGAGGCAACAUUGGAAAUGAGAGGAGGUCGAGAGUCCUACGGGAGGCAGCAGUGGGGAAGGGUGGACAAUGGGCGCAAGUUUGAUCCAGCUAUACUGCGUAGGUGAAGAAGGCCUUCUGGUUCUAAAGUGCUUUUUCGGUGAAAAAAGAGCAGGAGGUUACUACCCCGGUGCCCUGACGGUACCUAAAGAAUAAGAACCGGCUAACUUCGUG
rnacentral:rRNA from 1 species